GGCCUGAAUACUGUAGGUACUGUGUUAAAACACAGCAUUUGCAUGGAUGCCAAACACCUGCACUAGGGAUUACGCUAACCUUUUAUACAGAUUCAGACAGGACCACAAAGCAACAAAGAGGGGAGGACUCCAUGCCACAACUCACAGACACUUUAAGAAAGUUAAUAGGUUUAUUUAACAAAAUAGAUGAUGACAGGUUACACAAAGUCCACUGCUAAUGCAUGGUAAUUAAUAUAACAAACCAUAAACAGGUAAGUAAAUAACUACACAAAACCCAGAUGCAUAAGCAGGUCUCUAAUUACUAAACACAAACAUGAGCUAAUGAAAGACUCACAUCAAAGGCUCUGUACUACAGGCUAAACACUGUGAACUAAACAAGUCAAAACGUGGACAGACAUAUGACACACAAGGUACAAACCUUUACGAAUACACACAACACAAACCAAAGUCUCAAUUCAAAAAUGUCUCCAAUAAACAUUGUCACUGACACAGAGCAUGACGUCCACAAAAAUAUUGGUAACUGCUCCAUUUCACCAUCAACUAACCAACCACAGUAACAGUGACACGUAAAGCAGAACAGGAAAUGACAUCAUGCUUGAGGAAGAAUAACAACCAAGACAACACUGGAACAAGUCAAAACCAAGCCUAUUAAUGCAAGACUGGAUGAAAAUAAAUCUUGUGAUAUUGCAGAAGCUUACCGAAAAACAAUGCCACAGCAAAUGAUUUUUCAGACACGCAGUGUAUAACGUAUGGUCCCAAAAACAGGGGGCUUAAAAAUCAGCAGAACUCACAAAAUACUAAAAUUUCUAUCAUGCAUCCUUUCUUUUAUCUUUUAUUUGGUGUCUCAUAGCAGACCUUGCCUAGACCUACAACAACACAUGCACAUUGAGAAACUGAUUUACCAAGGAUUUCGUCGGGCCCACAAAGUUAAUAUGUGCAUUACUGCUUUACUGAGUGUGUUAGUUGUUUAGAUAGGAAAGGGUUUUAUAUACUGUCACUUAGAAGACUUAGAUUUAGUAAGCUAAAGGCUGCAAAAUCCAUUACUAGGUACUAGGUACAGUGUCACAAUGUGUGACGUGUCAUGGUAGCUCAUUUAGUAUAGCAUUGUCCUGUGAAGCAGGUUGUUGGUUCGAUCCCUGCCUCCCUGCCCUGUGUAUGUGAGCAAGACACUUAAAACUAGUUCAGUUAGAUUAGUUAUUAUUAUGAAGGGAGGUAGUGUACAAUUAUCAGAUGAAAAAGAAAGAAGACAUUUGGCUCAUAACAGACAUUUGGUGUACACGCACUGUGUAUCACAUCUACUGUUACAACCUUGUAUUUAUAGUGCUAAAGUCUCUGUUACUACAGAUUGAUACUUAAAGGAAAACUUAACCGAUUUUCAAUGGAGGUUGACCAAAACAAUGUUGGAUAAUUUUUUUUAUGUUUAGAUUGUUAGAAUGUUACACACUGUUAAAAUAUAACCUUUCGUUAAGAAUGUAAAGUGAUGUUUGAAAGUUUAUCUGUUAGAUUCAGUUGUGCUUCUUUCAGCGCAGAGACAUGAUGCAUCUGGCUCUCAGCUGUUUGUUAAGAAUAACAAUAAGAAUGCCUUUAAAGGAGUCAUAUCAUGCUUUUCAUUCUAAAAAAUAUUAGACUCAAAGACUGAGAUGUCUCAGUAAGGUCUCUGUAAAUUUUCAUCCCAUAAAACCCUUUAGAUCGUCCACACUGCCCCUGUCAAUGUGUGGUUUUCACUCCCCAUCAGUAAACGCUCUGUUUUCUGGGCGUGUCGCAAGCGAAGCUGCUCACCACACCUCUGUGCGGAAGCGCAUACCUUUUUUGUUGUUGUUUUUUUUUUAAAUUGGCUCCAUGGAUACGAGCCACCGCACGGUUACGAUACAAUAGGUGGCAGUAGUGCGACAUUGAGAAUGCAAUCCACCGCAUCCUCCACAGAAGAAGAAGACCCACUACAGAACUGCACGACAUUAGUCAGCUGGUUCGUAGCGUAGUAGAACCAUACGUCUACGAUCCCGAAUCUGACCCUGAAGCUAAAGAGGAGGCUGUUGAAGUCACCACAUUUCGGCUGAUGCAAGAUGUGUCUCAUUGUUGUUACAGGUAUCUAGUCUACAGAGGCUAGUGAGCUGGUGCUGAGGAUUCCUGGGGUGAAGAAUCUGAGUUGCCAUCUCUUCAUGCUUGAGUUGUAGAUGAAGGCAGUUUCCUGAUGGAUAAAACACUAAAACACUCAUAGUAUGAUUGAUGUAGACCACCUGUAGAAUAACUCCUUUACCGUUUGAGUAAAAAUGUGUUUUUUGUGAGUGCAACACUCAUUAAGAAUUUUUUUAACUUUAUUUAUAUAUAAUUUAUAUGCGUUUUAUUUAUGGCCGCUUCAACUUUAUAGCUUACCAUAUUAGAAAGAGAAAAACAUGUAAUUUCAAUACUAUGAUUUCCUAAAUAAAAGUGUUUUCCCUUCAGAAA